GCGGGAAUAGCUCAGUUGGUAGAGCAUAACCUUGCCAAGGUUGGGGUCCAAUAGCAACACGCUGUUGCUGACCACCA
rnacentral:tRNA from 1 species